GCAAUACUGACGAGUUCCAAACAGGACGAAACAGCUGUCCAGUAC
rnacentral:hammerhead_ribozyme from 1 species